UGGGCUUUUGACCUUGGGUGCGUUCGAAUUGUCCCUCCUAUCUCCUUUCACUAUCCACUUUACCUUAACCCCGGGGAAAACGUCAUGAGGUUAAUGACGUGGGUCUGCUGUGUUGAAACUACAAUGUUCAGAAAAUGGACUACAAAAAACGCAUCUAAAAAACUUUCCCCUGUGUCUUCUUACCGGUGAAAUAAUCCUAAUCACCACAAGGUUGGGAUUGAAAUAAAAGAAAUAUAGACUACCAGGCUACAAGUAACAAAAGUGAAACCAUCACCUUCCUGUCCACUCAGAAAUCAACAUCAACAUAAAUAUGAUUGUAUGAAAUGAAUUGUUACAUUUAUGUAAGAUAUAACCUACACAUAAUGUUUUAUACAAAUGUACAACUGCACAAAGCAUUCUUAAGUGAAUGAAACAUGUUGAAUAAAACAUCAUCUGAUAAAAAA